GUGGGUGGGGGGCAGGGUUUCCAACAGGGGUUACAGGUCACGAGCCUCAUGGCUUUCCAUGACCAGCAGCACACAACACUGGAGCGAGGUUUGCUGCUCCAACUCCUGUCGCCUCCGUAUGUGGAUGUCCUGUUUCCCUGGAGGACUCGGGCCUUGAGGACGAUGCUGAAGUAUCGACCCAUUUCUUCGGAAGUAGGAGAGGAUUUAUGGAUGGCACCCCUUCCUUUCUCGUCCCCACCCCCACACAGAGGAAAAACAGGAAAGAUGCUCUCUUCAUUUUAUGCUUGAAAAAACACAUUUUUGUCUCAACUAAAACGUGACAAAGAUGCGUGAUAGGGAGGAAGUGCGCUUCAUCCAUUCAAACUCCUCUCGGUACAAAGAUGUUCCUGCCUCCAACCGUGUUUCCUGGAGGAGCUGGAAGCCCUCUAGCUAAGGUGCAUCUAGUGUAGUAAGUGAAGUAUUUCAGCAUCUACUGCCCUGGGUGCUCCUUCUGCCUGGAGGGCUUGGUUGUGUCACCACCUUUGACUGCGAUUGCCCUGAAAACAACUGCAGUGAAAAGCCUCCAGCCUUCCAGCACGACUCUUAAAUUGUGGCCUGUGUACUUUUUAUUUCCUGAUUGAUUCUUUUUGGGGAGAAAUAAAAGUUAAAAAGGUAAGAAAUAGCUGUCUGAUAUUUAUCACUGCGUGAAGAUGUCCCUUUGAGCUGAACAUGCCAUCGACUCGGCAGCACAAAAGUGCUCACAGUGCAGGUAGGAAACUCUGAACUACUGCAGUUUGAGCACUUCAGGCGUUGCCUGUCACCUCCCACAGAUGUCUCUGAAGCUGAGGUUAUGGGGAGUUUUGUUGGUUUGCUCUCAGCUUCUCCCGGUGUUUGCUGUGCAAAUCCACGCAAAGCUCUCUGCACCUCCGACGCACCACGUUGACUCUUGUUUUCUGCUACUCCCAGCUUUGAAGAAAGCUUGAAAGAUUGGAAACGUCUGUCACUGUGGACUUGAGAAGCUGCUCUUUCUGUUUUUACUUUAGCUGUGAUGUUUGUGAGAUGUUGGCUCAUCUUUUGAAGUAGUCAUUUUAUGACUGGUGAAUCCAGAAUUCCAGCACCUAAUGUAUUUGGACAGACUGCCCAGAAUCCUGCUGAUGCACCCACAAGUUGUGUAUAUUAUGAUUAUUGCAGUUCAAAGAAAAUGUUCUGUUCUAAGUAAAAACAUUUGGAUGCUGACAUACAAACUGAACACUCGAUGGCGCCAUUUCAACUAGAAUAGCUCAGGGAGAUCAGCUUAAAAUAAGCCAACAGCUUCAGAUGAGACUGUUUAUAUAAACCUUUGCUUGAUUUAGAUGUUUAACUUGAUUUGUGUAUGCUUUAUGGCUGAAUAGCAACACACAUAUACACAAGGUUUAUAGGUGUGUACAUAUAAAAGCAUAUAUUAUUGAAACUUAUUGUACAGUACUAAUAUUUUUCCUGUAAUAUGAAGUUCUCUAAAAUACUUUGGUUUCUGUUUAAUGCAACAUGCAUCCAAAAUUUGCCCAGUAAAGGAGACAAUUGUCAUUUUGGUCAAAGCCCAAGCUGCAUGGUGGCACAGUUGGUAGCGCUUAUCUAAUUAUUGUAAAAAGGCUGCAGGUUCAAAACCUGACGGUGGCUGUUUAGCGUGAAGUUAGCAUGUAAUCAUGGGCUUUGGGUACAUUGGUUUCCUCCCACAGACUGAAAUUGCACAUUUGUUUAGUUAGCUAUUUCUGAAUCCACAAUUGUAAGUUGCUUUGGGUGAAAGUUUGAUGUAUAUAAAUGAAAUAAUGAAAUAUUCUUAGUAAGCAUUAACAGAUUCUGUUUUAGCUCAAUAUCUGUGAAUUUUACAGUUAUAGUUUUUGUGUUUACUAAUGUAGAUUUACAUGAAGUGAUUACCUUGAAAUUUUAUUAAAAUAAUGUAGUUGAA